AGUAUAUAACAGUUUAUCUAUUGACAUCCAUAAGAAAAAUAAAUCACGUUGGGCGCCAUUUAUGGGUGAAAAUCUUAAACCAAAGAGUUUGUCAUUGAAAUGACAUGUGCUAUAACAUAUUUAGUACUCUAGAUAGAUUUUUAGACUCUUUUAAGUAUUUAGUAGUUUAUCAAUUGACAUCAAAUAAAAAAAAUAAUAAAUCACGUUGGGCGCCAUUUAAGACUGAUAAUCUUAAACCAAUGAAUUUUGUCAGUGAAAUGACAUGUGAAAUUCUAUGAAAACUGUUUAGAAUUCAUUUAGGUAGCAUUUCUUUUCUUUGCCUUAGAUUUACAAAAUUAAUACCGCUUUGGGCGCCAUUCAAGUAAACUUUUGGUGAAUUGAAAAUAUUUGUAUAGAUGCUAUAGAAAAUAAUCUUAGAUUUUUUGACAUUGAUAUUCAGAGGAAAAAAUCUCUAAUUUCAUAUCAAGUAUAUUUUUUUAGGGUUUGUCUUAGGUAUUUAGAGAUGAAAUCACGUUGGGCGCCAUUUAACGAAACAAAUACCUAACAAAUGAAAAGAUGUUUUUUUUUGUGGGGCAGGAUUGACAAAAUGCUUUAUAUUCUUUUCAUGGCUUUCUGAACUUAGCCUUUACGGUUUUCACAUAUCUUCACAAAAAGAAAUCACGCCACUUUAAAAAGCUGAGUAUAUAUUUGUUUUUAUUCAGGAUUUUUCAUUGAGUUCCUUGUUUUUAUAUAUUUUAUCUAUUGAAAAAACUCUGCAUUGAGCUAUUUAUUGAGUACUAAACAAUAAAUCAGUUGAUUAUGAAUUAAGAGCUGUUUCAAAGUGUUUAAUGCUACUCAUAUCUUCUAUUUAUUAAUUCAUAUCAACAAAUGCACUCAACAAUUCUUGUUAAUACAUUUACAAACUAUACAAAACGAAAAAAAAAUUGCAUCACAAGAUGUUUUCUUCUUCAUAUAAAAAUAUAGUUGCAUCAAUACUGGUCCAACCAUGAAGCCCUCUGGCACUCCAUAUUUACCAACGAACAAGAAUUUCCCAUGCAAUUUAUUGUUGUUGUUGCAGUUGUUGUUCUUUCCGGUUCAUUUUCAAUAAAUACAGGUUAUUUUUGUUGCUGUUGUUGUUGCAAUUAAUUGCACAUCUUCAUGUGGCGGGAUAACUCAACAUCCGGACCCUCAGGUUAAACAUUAAAUAGAAAUAAAAUUAAGCAAAACAUAAAAACAACCUCUCACAAAUUAAAUAACCCAAAAGCCAAAACCAAAAAACCAUUGAUGGAAUGAUGAUGAAGAAUGAAAUACAAAAACAAAAAGAAGAUAAAAGUUACCUAGGUACCCACCAAAAAUUUUGCAGCUUCUUUUGUUUUUGCUCUUUUUGUUGGUCCCUGGGGCAAGAUUCAAUAAAUCCUCUUUCCAAACCACCUCAGAACAACCACUCAUCUUUUAGCUUUUUUUAUUUUUUUCCUCUUUCCAUGGAGCGUUCUUAACGUUCGUUGUCGUGGUCGUCGUCGACUUUUGGGGUGUGUCGUAUACAACAAGAUUUUGCAAUUCAUGAUCUUGGCAUCGAGUGUAUUUUCGUUGUUGCAAAAAAAUUAUAACGAUGUCUUCCACACUAAAACCCAAACACACACGUAUAUGAAAGGUAUCCCAUUCAUCUUUUCUUGCUUGGGUGAAUCUUUCGUGCAGAUCGCAGUAAAAUUAUUACAAAAACAAAAAAAAUAUAAGAGAAGAAAAGAUCAUCAUCCACAAAAUCUUCAACCCAAACUCGAUCGCACACAAGGAACGGAAGUCAUUUCGAUAAUUACUUGUCACCAAUUCCAAUUUCAAUGCCUUCGAUCCAUGUCUGGGGCAAAAGGAAUUGCAUUUAAGUGGGCGCAAAAUGUGAUGUGAUGCGUGUCUGUUGUCGUUAAAAGAGAUGCGAGUUAGAUUCGAGAAAUAUCUUUCAGAAUAUGGCGUGUCUAACGAUUAUAUUCCUUAAAGUUGGUCUGUCUUGGUUAUGAAAAAGUAAGGAAACAAUACAAAAAAAAAAUAUCGAAGUUUUAUUUUUGAAAGGAGCAGCAUUUUUUGUAUUAUUUCGAGUGUGGGUUUAAGUGGGAAAAGUAUUAGAAAGGAUUUCAAGAAAUGUAACUUGGCGAUGUAUGAAGCUUAGAGAGGCUUAUAUUUUAUAUGAGAGAACCUACACAUGGUUUCAUACGUGGAAGGAAUGUUUAGUGGGGAAUAAAUGAUGAUGUUGUCAACUGAAAUAAGGAAAUCAGACUGUUCAAGUCGGAUUAGAUUGGAAUACUUAGGAUAACGAAGAAAGUACUAUUAAGACCCUUAUGUUAGAUAUUUGAAAAGGAACCUACAGUCAUUUAUAUGACCAGAUGAAAACAUUACAAAAAUAAAUUGAUUUGGUUAUUUCUAUAAAUAUAUAUAGCACAGUUGCAAAAAAAUUAAUUUGUAUAAAAAAAAACUCAAAUUUUGGACUAUUUUUUUUUUUUUUACAACUCAGUUUAUUCCUUUUAAGUAAUUCUAAUCGAAAAUAACUUCUAGCCAAUUACAUUUUUAUUAAAGAAUGAAAAAAUUAAAAAAACAACUCGUUAAUGUCGUAAAUUUGACUGUGAUCAAAUCAAUCCUUUCUAUGAUAUAUACGACAAAAUCCACUGCAGUUAAUACGCUUUAACUGACUGGUGUAACCCAUUCUUGUUGGAUAUAUAACGUAUCACAAGAAGCAAACAAUUGAAAUGUAGAAGAAAUCUUUGAAAAUCCGCUUAUAUUCCCUGUAAACUUGACUGGUAUAAACUAAAAAUCUCGCAAAUUACAUUCUAUGUUAUUUGUUAUUAAAUUUUGACUGGUAUAAAUACAUAAAUAAAUCAACUAUUCAAGGCAAAGGUGUUAAA